UACGGAGGGUGCAAGCGUUAAUCGGAAUUACUGGGCGUAAGGCGCGCGUAGGCGGUUUGGUUAGUGUGAUGUGAAAGCCCAGGGCUUAACCUUGGAAUUGCAUCACAUACUGCCAGGCUAGAGUACGAGAGAGGGGGGUAGAAUUCCUAGUGUAGCGGUGAAAUGCGUAGAUAUUAGGAGGAAUACCAGUGGUGAAGGCGGCCCCCUGGCUCGAUACUGACGCUGAGGUGCGAAAGCGUGGGGAGCAAACAGG
rnacentral:misc_RNA from 1 species